rnacentral:misc_RNA from 1 species
GAUGAAGAACGUAGCAAAAUGCGAUAAGUAGUGUGAAUUGCAGAAUUCAGUGAAUCAUCGAAUCUUUGAACGCACAUUGCGCCCUUUGGUAUUCCUUAGGGCAUGCCUGUUCGAGCGUCAUUUAAACCUUCAAGCUAAGCUUGGUGUUGGGUGACUGUCCGCUUCACUGCGGACUCGCCUCAAAAUUAUUGGCGGCCGGUACAUUGGCUUCGAGCGCAGCAGAAACGCGAACUCGGGCCCGUCGUAUUGGCUCCCAGAAGCUAUCUUCACAAUUUUGACCUCGGAUCAGGUAGGGAUACCCGCUGAACUUAAGCAUAUCAAUAAGCGGAGGA